GACCGGGUAGCUCAAAUGGUAGAGUUGCCGACAUGUCCUCGAGAGGUUCUGGGUUCGAAUCCCAGUCCGAGCG
rnacentral:tRNA from 1 species